rnacentral:lncRNA from 1 species
CUGGACAAAAGAAGUUUAUGAAGCAAGUUAUUGAAGCCAUCGAUCCGUACAAAAAGUCAAUUUGUUGGAAAGUCAUUGAAGGAGACGUGCUAGAGAUGUAUAGUUCAUUUACUAUUAUAACAUCUCAUGAACCUCAGUGGACUAUAUGGACACUUGAUUAUGAAAAGAAAACUGAAGACAUUCCAGAGCCGCUCAGUUUUAUGGGUCAUAUCCUUGACAUAAUCAAGGAUAUGGAGGGUCACCUUCUCAAGAAUUAGAAGAUCUAUGUUGUUAUAUAUUUAUAUAUGUGUGUGUGUAUGUGUAUCUAUAUGCAUAAACAUAUCUAUAUGUAUUGGUGUUUGUAUGAAGAAUAAUUUGCAAUAUUGGCUACAUUAGCUAGCAUGUGAAAUAAAUAAUGUAAUAUUUGAAGAAUAUAUUUUAUCUGUCAAUAUAUAUAUAUAUAUAUAUAUAUAUGCGGGUAUCUAUAUGCAUAAAUAAAUAUAUGUGUAUUAGUGUUUGUAUGAAGAAUAAUUUGCAAUAUGGGCUACAUUAAGUAGCAUGUGAAAUAAAUAAUGUAAUAUUUGAAAAUAUAUUUUCUGUCAAUCUCCUUUUAUGGAACUCUGCAAUAUUCAAUAUUUUAACUAGUACAAUUUUUUAUCACAGUUGAGGUUGAUGGAGCGUGAUCACAAUAAAAAAGAUGCUUUAAAGUCUAAAUGGUUAUUUAUUUGAUGGUGAGUAUGAGAAAAAAUUAUUUUCAAAGUAUCAAGAUGAGUAUAUGGUGAGUAUUAGCAAAAUUCAUAUUUUCAGUCACAAAUAUGAAUUGUUUCACAUCAAGGUGAUUGUUUUUAAAUAAAAAAGAUUGUUAUCCUUCGUGAAGUAAAAGUCCUAAAAGUGGACCCAAAAUAGAAGGCUUGUCUCAAAAUACAAAAGACGAGCCAACAUAAUAUAGAUAGACACAGGUAAGUCUAGAACACAAUGUGUUCACCCUCACAUCUGAACUGAAGCUGCAACAGGCUUGAAUAUCAAUGCUAGUAGCUGGUGCUCAGACCUGUAUCACAAAAUAUAUGCAGAGUGUAGCAUGAAUACCAAAUCAAUAGAAAAUCAGUAUGCAUCAAUGAUCGACUAAGCAAGAGAAGUAAAAGCAAUAUGAAAUGCGAGAAAUAAACAUAAACAGAGGUAAAAGCAACGUAACGCUAAAUGAAAUGUACAUGAGUGUACUAAGAAGAGAAAAAAACUAAGUACAACUAACUGAGCCUAACUAGGCCACCAUAAUGCCAAAAGGUACAUUUAGGUGCAAGUUAUAGUAAAAAUCUGAAUCAAAAUAAUAAUUAUAGUCCUUACAAAGGAUUCUAUCAUACAUCUUCAAGAGUGAGUAAUUUAUAUGAGUCUUAGGCUCCAUAAUAUUGAAGCGCACCAAGUGAUUAUCCAUUAGUUUCGGGAAACUCACAUUUUGUGAUCAUUAGAUAAUAUUGAAGGGCACCAAGUCAUGAUCCUACUUCUUCGUGAAACUCACAUUCUGCGAUCAUUAAAUAAUUUUUUUCAACAAAGUCCAACUGAGGAAUUUAAUGUCUUCCAUGUAAAAUCCUCUAUCACACACAAUAGGCACGAUGCAAUAAGUAUUAGGGAAAGAAAAUUAAGCAAAUAGAUAUGAUACUUUAAAUAGGCUAACCAAGAAAGUCAAGUAAUUAAAUCCACACUUGCUUUAUCUCGUUAUCAAUAAAGAUCCUCUUUGUUUCCUUACAAAAUAGAUUGGUAGUGUAUUGAAAAAUAAAUUUACGCAUGUGGCAUUUAUUGAUUCACUAAGUCCUAGAGUAUGUAUAACAUUGUUGUUAAAAACUAUUUAUUUUUAAAAGUACUUUUUUAAAAAUAGUUUUUCAAAAAGUGUUCUUGAAAAAAUAAUAAUUUGUGCUUGGCUAAUUCAUUUGAAAAUUAUUUUUCUUAAGAAAAUUGUGUUGGACUAAUCUUUUUUUAAAAGUGCCUUUGAGAGUCAAAUUACGAAAAAUGGAAAGUAUCAAUGUACUUCUAAUAUUAACAUUAUUUUAUAGAGAGAAACAAUUUUAAAUAUCUAUUAUAAAAGUUUUAAUUAAAUUUUUAUUUUUAUUAAAUUAAAUGUACAUAUUAAAAUAUUCAAUCAAUAAUAUACCUUUGUUUGGGAGGGAGGAAAUCUUUAAUUGUUACAAUAAUUUUUUCUUUUUUCUUAACUUGCAAAAAGAUUGUUGUUGGCUUUUUUUCUAAUACUGAAAAAUAAUACGUAGAAUAAUAUAAUAUAAAAUAAAAAAACUAUUAUAUAAACAUAAAAAAUAAAUUUUUAAAUGAAAAUUAACAAAACUUAUGAUAUACGUUAAUUAAUUAAUAAUAGGUAUAUUGAUAAAUAUUCAUUUACGGAAAGGAUAUUUUAGUCUUAAAAAUAAUAAUUUUCUGCUCCUGCUUCUGCUUUUUUAAGAAGUAGAAUAUUUUAGCUUCUUUCCAACAGCAGAAAAAUUGCUUCUGCUUGAAUUUAAAAACAAUUUUACUAAUUUGUCAAACACUUAAUAUUUCAAAGAAAAAAAAUCUCAAAAUAAGUGUUUGUGGCUUUCCAGCAAUGCCAAACAAACGCUUCAGAUUCCUUACAAUCAGCACAAAAUUUUCUCCUACUAGGUUAUUUUAGGUUUGUACAAUUUUAGCAUAAACUGCUCUUUUUCUUUGGUGUUCAUUAUUUUUUAUGUAAUUCUUGAAAAAAUUAGUUUACUUUUGUAAAAUAUUGUAAACAAAUAAUUAAUUAGGUUAGCACAAGAUAUAGUGCAUAAAAUACUACUCCCUAAGCAUUAUAUUUUAUAUAGUGCAUAAAAGUUAUUUGUUUUCUAUUAAAAAAAUUUGAUGAAAGCAUACACAUUGAUAAUAAAGUCUUGAUAUAUCACAUACAUGAAAAUAUAAUAAGAACAUUCAAUAGUUAGCAUGUGGUAUUUUGGUAUCCUCAUUUAAAUAUUGUAUUUGUACAAUAGUUGGUUAUUUUUAUUUCAUGUACUUUUAGUCAAUUUUAUAAGAAUGCAUUCUUUUUAUUAGGAAGAUAUACGUACUUUUUAUAGUAAAAAUGUUUUUUUUUUUUAGUAAAUACCAAUAUAUUUAAAGGUGAUAAAAUAUGUCUUUUACAAUUUGGGAUAAACUUGCGACGCAUGUUUCUAAAAUGGUUCACAAAAAUUGAAUCAACAAAUCUUCAAUCCUCACUAAUUAGUAACAUGUGAUAUAAGUAUGUGGUGGACAAUGUUUCAACAAGCUAGCUUUUCACAACUAACUAAAGUCUGUCUAUAUAAAGACUGCAAGUUUUCAACAUUUUCUCACCACCUUCUUUUCACAACUUAUAAUUGCUCUAUUGAGAAAAAUAAAAGAUGGGUUUGAAAGGAAAAUUGAUUGCUUCUGUUGAGGUGAAGUGUGGAGGCCAUUUGAUGCAUGAUCUUUUACACACUAAUUCUCAUCAUGUAGCCAAUAUAAGUCAACAUGUUAACCGUUUUCAAAUUCAUGAAGGUGAAAGCGUAAAAGUUGGUUCGAUUGUUAGCUGGAGUUAUAAUGAGGGUAACACACACUUUUCUACUUCUUCUAUUAUUCAAUGCGAUUUACAUACAUCAAUUUUCUUUAUUUAGGUGUAUACUGUAAUAUGAAACGUGCUUUUCAAGAAAAUGAUCUUCUUGAAAGAGUUAUUUGAUGGUGUUUGAUUACUAUAAAUACAUUCUAAGUAAACCCUCUUGCUUCAAGAAUCAAAAUAACCUUUUCCACUUGUGGGAGAAAGUACUUUCUUCAUUAAAACUAUCUUUAAUUACUUUAAUUUUUUCUUAUUUUCUCCAACUAAUGCUUAGACAUAACUUACUAAUAUUUAAUUACUCAAGAGAUUCAUUUUUAUCAAACAUUCUAUGAUUUAUUAAUAGAUUUAUUGAUCUGCAAUAGAGUAUGAUUUAGGUAUAUUAUCUUUCCACCAAUCAAUAUACUAAAAUAUUACUAAUGUCAUGUUUAACGUAAUAAAAUCAGCUAUUCUUUUGAGAUUUUAAAAAUAUAACUCUAUUUAGAAAAUAGACAAUAAAAAAUUAUGAGCAUUAUAAACUUUUGGAGUAAAUGAAAAUGAAAAUGAAAAUGAAAAUCGAGGAAAAAAGUUAAACAUUAUAUGAUAAUAAAGAUUAUAUUUUGUAAAUAUUGAAAUCUUAAUGAGGAAUUGAACAAGUAAAUUUAAAAUAACAUAUAUUGUAUUAUUUUUAUGUUGACAAUUAUAGCUGGACAAAAGAAGUUUAUAAAGCAAGUUAUUGAAGCCAUCGAUCCGUAAAAAAAUCAAUUUGUUGGAAAGUCAUUGAAGGAGAGGUGCUAGAGAUGUAUAGUUAAUUUACUAUUAUAACAUCUCAUGAACCUCAGUGGACUAUAUGGACAUUUGAUUAUGAAAAGAAAACUGAAGACAUUCCAGAGCCGCUCAGUUUUUUGGGUCAUAUCCUUGACGUAAUCAAGGAUAUGGAGGGUCACCUUCUCAAGAAUUAGAAGAUCUAUGUUGUUAU